AGACGCUGACGCAAGGAUAUUUAAUCAGACAUGGAGGUUUAUAGAGAACAGACAACAGACAAUAUAUGGCGCACCGAGUACAGGGAGUAGCAUGAAGCUGCAGCGUUGGAGACUGCACUCUCAGGACCGCACUCACAGGACCCUAGUUUUUUGUGACACUGCCACCUAGCGAGCAGGAGACCUGAAUAUGAAUGACAACGCAGAGAGUGCAUGGCCAAAGGUUUGCCUUCUGGACUCUGGAGGCCAGAAGCUUGCUCGAGGGAACCCUUCAGCCAGUGUUCAGCGUGCCAGAAUGGAUAUCUCCCAGGAGAAGGUGGUCAACAGCAGAUUGAAGAAUCCACAGUGUGGAAAUUGUGCCCAAUAAAUGUAUUCUGCACUGAAAUG